UCUACGGGAGGCUGCAGUAGGGAAUCUUCCACAAUGGGCGAAAGCCUGAUGGAGCAACGCCGCGUGGGUGAAGAAGGUCUUCGGAUCGUAAAACCCUGUUGUUAGAGAAGAACGUGCGUGAGAGUAACUGUUCACGUUUCGACGGUAUCUAACCAGAAAGCCACGGCUAACUACGUGCCAGCAGCGGCGGUAAUACGUAGGUGGCAAGCGUUAUCCGGGUGUAUUGGGCGUAAAGGGAACGCAUGCGGUCUUUUAAGUCUGAUGUGACAGCCUUCGGCUUAACCGGAGUAGUGCAUUGGAAACUGGGAGACUUGACUGCAGAAGAGGAGAGUGGAACUCCAUGUGUCGCUGUGACAUGCGUAGAUAUAUGGAAGAACACCAGUGGCGAAAGCGGCUCUCUGGUCUGUAACUGACGCUGAGGUUCGAAAGCGUGGGUAGCAAACAGGAUUAGAUACCCCUGUAGUC
rnacentral:rRNA from 1 species